UCAGUCACAUGAUUAGAUUGAUUACUGUGGUUGGAACGGAUUUGUAAUCGCUAAGGCCCACAGUGCCAGCCAGUGGGCAUCAAACAGCAAGUAGAACCAGAAUCCAGUGCCAGCCAGUGGGCAUCAAACAGCAAGUAGAACCAGAAUCCAGUGCCAGCCAGUGGGCAUCAAACAGCAAGUAGAACCAGAAUCCAGUGCCAGCUAGUGGACAAUAAACAGCAAGUAGAAUCAGACAUCCAGUGCCAGCUAGUGGACAAUAAACAGCAAGUAGAAUCAGACAUCCAAUGCCAGCCAGUGGGCAUCAAACAGCAAGUGGAAUCAGACAUCCAGUGGACAACGCACCUCUUGUGGGAAGAGAGAAUUAACAUUUCAGAUCAGAUUCCCUGCGUCAGAACUGGAAAGAGAGAAAAUAAGUUAGCUUUCAGUUGCAGAGAAGGAGUGGGGAGGAAUGGGAAUAUCUUUGUUAGGGUGACACUUUGUCUAUGUCAAACCUCCUCUACAUUUCCUGACAGGAUGAGUGAACCAGCAAUUGACCCAGCAGAGUAUGUUCACCGAAAGGAAGUUGUCCACCGGCGUGAGUACAUUAUCCAGAAGCAGCAAGAAACCAUUGGCCAUCUGUCAACCACUCUCAUCCAACUCUCCGCCUUGGUGCAGCAACUCCAUGCGGGUCAACCUCCUCCCUCUGAGGCCAGGAUUCCUGUGCCAAAUGCUUUGAUGGAUCUCCAACUCGAUGUCAUUAUUUCCUGUCCCAGUGCAUCUUAUACCUUGAGCUCCAGUCAUUUUCCAAGCCUUCAUUAAUUAGAUCCUCUGAGACAUGUUACACAGGGGCCAUGCACAAUCCUGAUUUGAUGGAGACAGCCGUGAGAAGCACAGAGAAACUUCUGAAAUGCCCGCUUUGCUGCCACUGCUACUGUGCGAUCGAGAAUCUCUGGAAGGGAAGGCCCCAAACCCUCGGCUUUGCCAAUUGCCUGUUGCCGGGGCCGGGGUUGAAGCGCUCGGCAGAGAUGGUGCUCGGUGCUCGGUGUCGGAGAGCUGGUCGGAGGCUCGUAGUUUUCGGACGGACUCGGAGUUGGACUGUGGUCGGAUGCUUCCAGGAUGCUGCAUCAGCAAGUUUGCAGCGCUGGAGGUUCACCAUCUGCAUGAGAUGAUGGGACUUUCGAGAGACCUUGAUAUUUUUUACCGUGCCCAUGGUCUGUUCU